CUAUUCUCCAAAUGAGGUGGCUGCAGUCCCUGUUCUCUCCACUGAAGAAGCUCUGGAUUCGUCUGCACUCGGCUCGAAAAAAGAGUAGAGGGAUAUACAUCCUAUAUGAAGAUAUCAAGAACUGUCCCUAUGAAGAUGUGCAUGUUCUUUGGUCCAUACUAGUGGAAUCACAUCCACCAGCUUUGCCACCACCAAAAUGAUGUACUCACAUACUGUAUGAAGCAGGGAGAUUACAUACGUACCUAAUAAAAUUUUUACUCAUUUAGGUU